rnacentral:rRNA from 1 species
GACGAACGCUGGCGGCGUGCCUAAUACAUGCAAGUUGAGCGCUGAAGGUUGGUACUUGUACCAACUGGAUGAGCAGCGCACGGGUGAGUAACGCGUGGGGAAUCUGCCUUUGAGCGGGGGACAACAUUUGGAAACGAAUGCUAAUACCGCAUAAAAACUUUAAACACAAGUUUUAAGUUUGAAAGAUGCAAUUGCAUCACUCAAAGAUGAUCCCGCGUUGUAUUAGCUAGUUGGUGAGGUAAAGGCUCACCAAGGCGAUGAUACAUAGCCGACCUGAGAGGGUGAUCGGCCACAAUGGGACUGAGACACGGCCCAAACUCCUACGGGAGGCAGCAGUAGGGAAUCUUCGGCAAUAGACGAAAGUCUGACCGAGCAACGCCGCGUGAGUGAAGAAGGUUUUCGGAUCGUAAAACUCGGUUGGUAGAGAAGAACGUUGGUGAGAGUGGAAAGCUCAUCAAGUGACGGUAACUACCCAGAAAGGGACGGCUAACUACGUG